rfam:Tupaia chinensis contig103679, whole genome shotgun sequence.
GUGUUUGCUUCAGCAGCACAAAUACUAACAUUUGAAUGAUACAGGAAAGAUUAGCAUGGCCUCUCUGCAAGGAUGACGUGCAAAUUUGUGAAGUGUUCCAAAAUUUU